rnacentral:rRNA from 1 species
AUUGAACGCUGGCGGCAGGCCUAACACAUGCAAGUCGAACGGAGCGGCGGAGGGGUACGGGAGGCCUAGGAAUCUGCAUGGUCGUGGGGGAUAACGUCCGGAAACGGGCGCUAAUACCACAUACUAUCAGAUUAGCCUAGGUCGGAUUAGCUAGUUGGUGGGGUAAAGGCCUACCAAGGCGACGACCCGUAACUGGUCUGAGAGGAUGAUCAGCCACACUGGAACUGAGACACGGUCCAGACUCCUACGGGAGGCAGCAGUGGGGAAUAUUGGACAAUGGGCGAAAGCCUGGUCCAGCCAUGCCGCGUGUGUGAAGAAGGUCUUCGGAUUGUAAAGCACUUUAAGUUGGGAGGCGUUACCAACAGAAUAAGCACCGGCUAACUACGUGCCAGCAGCCGCGGUAAUAC